rnacentral:rRNA from 1 species
GUUUACGGCCAUACCACCCUGAGCACACACGAUCUCGUCUGAUCUCGGAAGCUGAGCAGGGUUGGGCCUGGUUAGUACUUGGAUGGCAGAAAAAAAAUGAAGGUGGUGUAUAAA